AACGUAGGAGACAAACGUUAUCCGGAGUUACUGGGCGUAAAGGGCGUGUAGGUGGUUUCGUAAGUCUGGCGUGAAAUUUUUCGGCUUAACCGGGAAAGGUCGUCGGAUACUGCGGAGCUAGAGGACGGUAGAGGCGUGUGGAAUUCCGGGUGUAGUGAUGAAAUGCGUAGAGAUCCGGAGGAACACCAGUGGCGAAGGCGACACGCUGGGCCGUACCUGACACUGAUGCGCGACAGCAUGGGGAGCAAACAGG
rnacentral:rRNA from 1 species